rnacentral:rRNA from 1 species
UACGUAGGGUGCGAGCGUUGUCCGGAAUUAUUGGGCGUAAAGAGCUCGUAGGUGGUUUGUCGCGUUGUCCGUGAAAACUCACAACUCAAUUGUGGGCGUGCGGGCGAUACGGGCAGACUGGAGUACUGCAGGGGAGACUGGAAUUCCUGGUGUAGCGGUGGAAUGCGCAGAUAUCAGGAGGAACACCGGUGGCGAAGGCGGGUCUCUGGGCCACUACUGACGCUGAGAAGCGAAAGCAUGGGGAGCGAACAGG